rnacentral:rRNA from 1 species
AAGCGGAGGAAAAAAAACCAACCGGGAUUGCCUUAGUAACGGCGAGUGAAGCGGCAAAAGCUCAAAUUUGAAAUCUGGUACCUUCGGUGCCCGAGUUGUAAUUUGGAGAGGGCAACUUUGGGGCCGUUCCUUGUCUAUGUUCCUUGGAACAGGACGUCAUAGAGGGUGAGAAUCCCGUGUGGCGAGGAGUGCGGUUCUUUGUAAAGUGCCUUCGAAGAGUCGAGUUGUUUGGGAAUGCAGCUCUAAGUGGGUGGUAAAUUCCAUCUAAAGCUAAAUAUUGGCGAGAGACCGAUAGCGAACAAGUACAGUGAUGGAAAGAUGAAAAGAACUUUGAAAAGAGAGUGAAAAAGUACGUGAAAUUGUUGAAAGGGAAGGGCAUUUGAUCAGACAUGGUGUUUUGUGCCCUCUGCUCCUUGUGGGUAGGGGAAUCUCGCAUUUCACUGGGCCAGCAUCAGUUUUGGUGGCAGGAUAAAUCCAUAGGAAUGUAGCUUGCCUCGGUAAGUAUUAUAGCCUGUGGGAAUACUGCCAGCUGGGACUGAGGACUGCGACGUAAGUCAAGGAUGCUGGCAUAAUGGUUAUAUGCCGCUCGUCUUGA